GCUCCCGUAGCUCAGCUGGAACGAGAGCGCUUCCCUCCGAAGGAAGAGGCCGUUGGUUCGACUCCAACCGGGAGCG
rnacentral:tRNA from 1 species